AAGUAUGAUUGAUUCACAUAAAGGAGCCUUUUUACAUCUGAAAGAUCAAUGAGUUUAUAAGGAAGUGAAUUCAUCUCAUCUUUGGCCCCAAGAUACGUUAUAGAGAAGCCCGCGAGCAGGCCCCAAUCAUCGACCCUGCGACACGGCUGUUUCUUCGCCUGAGCAAAAGAGUUCUUUAAGUUGUCCUCUCUUUACCACUAUCAUCAUUUUCCACGCUGUCCACAGCCAGGAGACCUUGAAAUAUAACAGCAGGGUUUCAUUGCCAAGAAGGACAAGCAGAAAAAGACAGUAUAUUCUGUCCAAUGGGCAAAAUACUGAGCUGAGUACAUUAUACAACCACUUCCCUGACAGGGUAGAGUUUAGUUUUGGUGAUGAUAUAGAGUGGACCAAAUAACAACAACAACAACAACAACAAUACUUUAUAUAGACACCUUAGGCCUAGGAGCUGUGAAAGCUUGUUCAAAAUACCUAUGUGUUAAACAUGGAAAAUUGUUGAAGCAACCAAGAAAGGGAAUUUGUUAUAACAAAAGGCCCAUUUAAAACAACAUCAAGGAAAGCUGGAACUUGAGAAAGAUCAAUUUUGAGUUUAGGUGAUGACAGGAGACCAUUAACUGAAAGGGAAGUUGCCAGAUAUGAUCAUUUCUUGUAAUAUAUCAUUUAUGAUAUAACAGUAUAAAGCAUGUAAUCAUGCACAAAGCUGAUCAUCUUGUUUUCAGAGAGGGACAGUAGGUACUCACAGCUAUUUUUUCAACACUGUGUUUACAAACUGGACAAAAGUAUGGAAUGAAUGUGAAAAUCCAACAAAUAUGAUCACUCUUCUAUAAAAACAAGGGGUUGAAGGUGCCUGUUCAAAGAAGGGGUGUUUCUUAAAUAUUUUGGUCAGCUGGAUGGGCAUUUCUUUAAAGGGGCUCUUAUUUGAUAGUAUAACUUGAGAAUUAAAUGUAAUUUAUUCCAGUACUUACUGUCAAAACAAAGCAGUUUAGAAGUAUUGGACCUGAAUACACAACUGUUAUGAACAAACCAGCUGAAUCAAAAUACUGCUCCUUUGCAAAGGUCCUAUAUAAAA